rnacentral:lncRNA from 1 species
GCCUGUGGAGCGCAGGGCUUCCUAGCUCGGGAAGCAGACUCAGAGAGGGUGUGUGGCUUGCCCCAGGUCACACAGCGGGGCAGGGGCCCAGGGCCUAGCCUGCCAGUCCUGUUUCUGCCCCCAUCCUGGGGUUCUGGUGCAGGGUCUCCUGCCUGUGCUGACCAGCAGUAUUCAUGAGGUGCUGGUCAGCUCAGGUGGUGGCAGCAGGGAAGGAGGUGCGCUUGGAGCCAGGCAGCCCCGGAGGCACCACUUUCCAGCUGGGGGUCACUCAACUUUCAGGAAGCCCAGGGUCCUCCUCUGGCAGUGGUGACGGCCCCGGCCUCCAGGAGCGGCCGCAAGGAUUCAGAGCUGAUAAGGCUCAGGGAGCACUGACGGGGGAGCACUUCCUGUGUGCCAGGCCCAGGACUCAGCGCUGUGGUGCCCCGACCCCUGGAAAUCUCACAGCAGCCUGACUGACAGCUCGGGUCGUGUUGUGUAAGCUGGCUUCGGUGCCUGACGAGAAUCCCAACGCCACCACCUCCUUGGGCCACUCAUCUGACCUCACCAGGCCUCUGUUUCCUAUCUGCAAAAUGGGAACACUGAGUUCACAGGGCUGUGAGUCCCACAUGAACCGCCUUGGCCAGGGCCUGCUCCCUGCAAGGUCCUUUGGUGGGCUGUUAGGGUGAUUGUUGUCAUCUGCCCCCUGGGGGCUGCCAGAUGCAUCCCACCAGCCAGCCCUGGAGAGGGUGGGAUGGGAGGAUGGGGUGCAUGGGGAGAGAAGCCUGGAGACUGGGCCCUCC